UAGUAGUAGUAGUAGUAGUAGUAGUAGUAGUAGUAGUAGUAGUAGUAGUAGUAGUAGUAGUAGUAGUAGUAGUAGUAGUAGUAGUAGUAGUAGCAGUAGUAGUAGUAGUAGUAGUAGUAGUAGUAGUAGUAGUAGUAGUAGCAGUAGUAGUAGUAGUAGUAGUAGUAGUAGUAGUAGUAGUAGUAGUAGCAGUAGUAGUAGUAGUAGUAGUAGUAGUAGUAGUAGUAGUAGUAGUAGCAGUAGUAGUAGUAGUAGUAGUAGUAGUAGUAGUAGUAGUAGUAGUAGCAGUAGUAGUAGUAGUAGUAGUAGUAGUAGUAGUAGUAGUAGUAGUAGCAGUAGUAGUAGCAGUAGCAGUAGCAGUAGCAGUAGCAGUAGCAGUAGCAGUAGUAGUAGCAGUAGUAGUAGCAGUAGUAGUAGCAGUAGUAG
rnacentral:lncRNA from 1 species